AGAGUUUGAUCCUGGCUCAGAACGAACGCUGGCGGCAGGCCUAAAACAUGCAAGUCGAACGCUCUAGCAAUAGAGAGUGGCGCACGGGUGCGUAACACGUGGGAAUAUGCCUUUUGGUACGGAAUAACUUUUGGAAACGAAAGCUAAUACCGUAUGGUCCCUCCGGGGUAAAGAUUUAUCGCCAAAAGAGUAGCCCGCGCUGGAUUAGCUAGUUGGUGAGGUAAUGGCUCACCAAGGCGACGAUCCAUAGCUGGUCUGAGAGGACGAUCAGCCACACUGGGACUGAGACACGGCCCAGACUCCUACGGGAGGCAGCAGUUAGGAAUCUUGGACAAUGGGCGCAAGCCUGAUCCAGCCAUGCCGCGUGAGUGAUGAAGGCCUUCGGGUUGUAAAGCUCUUUAGCCGACGAAUAUAAUGACUGUAGUCGGAGAAUAAGCCCCGGCUAACUUCGUGCCAGCAGCCGCGGUAAUACGAAGGGGGCGAGCGUUGUUCGGAAUCACUGGGCGUAAAGCGUGCGUAGGCGGCGACAAAAGUUAGGAGUGAAAGCCCAGGGCUCAACCCUGGAAUUGCUCUUAAUACUAUGUUGCUCGAAUUCGGGAGAGGAUAGCGGAAUUGUCAGUGUAGCAGUGAAAUGCGUAGAUAUUGACAGGAACACCAGUGGCGUAAGCGGCUAUCUGGACCGACAUUGACGCUGAGGCACGAAAGCGUGGGGAUCAAACAGGAUUAGAUACCCCUGUAGUCC
rnacentral:rRNA from 1 species